rnacentral:rRNA from 1 species
GUGGGGAAUAUUGCGCAAUGGGGGCAACCCUGACGCAGCAAUACCGCGUGAGUGAAGAAGGUUUUCGGAUCGUAAAGCUCUGUUAUUGGGGAAGAAGAAUGACGGUACCCAAUGAGGAAGUCCCGGCUAACUACGUGCCAGCAGCCGCGGUAAUACGUAGGGGACAAGCGUUGUCCGGAAUGACUGGGCGUAAAGGGCGCGUAGGCGGUCUAUUAAGUCUGAUGUGAAAGGUACCGGCUCAACCGGUGAAGUGCAUUGGAAACUGGUAGACUUGAGUAUUGGAGAGGCAAGUGGAAUUCCUAGUGUAGCGGUGAAAUGCGUAGAUAUUAGGAGGAACACCAGUGGCGAAGGCGGCUUGCUGGACAAAUACUGACGCUGAGGUGCGAAAGCGUGGGGAGCGAACAGG